rnacentral:ncRNA from 2 species
AGCGGUGAAAUUCCAAUCGAACCUGGAGAUAGCUGGUUCUCUCCGAAAUAGCUUUAGGGCUAGCCUUGAAGUAGAGUCUUGGAGGUAGAGCACUGUUUGGACGAGGGGCCCUCACCGGGUUACCGAAUUCAGACAAACUCCGAAUGCCAAAGACUUGUUCUUCAGGAGUCAGACUGCGAGUGAUAAGAUCCGUAGUCGAGAGGGAAACAGCCCAGACCGCCAGUUAAGGUCCCCAAGUAUCCGUUAAGUGGAAAAGGAUGUGGAGUUGCUUAGACAACCAGGAUGUUGGCUNNNNNNNNNNNNNNNNNNUGACACCAUCGGUGUCAGUGGUAGGAGAGCGUUCCAAGGGCUGUGAAGCUAGACCGUAAGGACUAGUGGAGCGCUUGGAAGUGAGAAUGCCGGUAUGAGUAGCGAAAGAAGGGUGAGAAUCCCUUCCACCGAAUGCCUAAGGUUUCCUGAGGAAGGCUCGUCCGCUCAGGGUUAGUCGGGACCUAAGCCGAGGCUGAAAAGCGUAGGCGAUGGAUAACAGG